ACACUCAGCAAAUGGUGAAUCCCCCUAUGCGGAGGGGCGUAACUGGCGGUCCUUUUGUUGUAGAUGCAUGCGUAACGUUGAUGCCAGUGGACGUUACACCGGGAGGCACCCGGCACCAUCCAGAGAUGCUUUACCUGAUCUGGCCUGUUCAUCCGAGCAGGCCAUUUUUU
rnacentral:sRNA from 1 species